UACGUAGGGUGCGAGCGUUGUCCGGAAUUAUUGGGCGUAAAGAGCUUGUAGGUGGUUUGUCGCGUCUGCUGUGAAAAUCCGAGGCUCAACCUCGGACUUGCAGUGGGUACGGGCAGACUAGAGUGUGGUAGGGGAGACUGGAAUUCCUGGUGUAGCGGUGAAAUGCGCAGAUAUCAGGAAGAACACCCGUGGCGAAGGCGGCUCUCUGGGACGGUACUGACGCUGAGACGCGAAAGCGUGGGGAGCGAACAGG
rnacentral:rRNA from 1 species